GGCGGGUUGGCGCAAUGGUUAGCGCGCUAGUUUCCGGUUCAGGGUUUACUCCCAUGAGCACCUGCUAGAGGUUGGGAGUUCGACUCUCCCACUCGUCG